GAGCGUGCCCCUGAGAAUCGCGUCGUUGUGGCUUCGGGGUCUCUGGUUCAAGUCCAGGAUAGCCCAUGCCAGGAAAAAAA
rnacentral:tRNA from 1 species